rnacentral:tRNA from 1 species
ACCUGGGUGGCUCUAUCGGUAGAGCGCCUGACUCUUGAUUUUGGCUCGGGUCAUGAUAUUGUGUUCGUGGGCUCGAGCCCCACAUCAGGUU